GAGGAGUUGAUAGUUCAGUGGUAGAGCGCAUGCUCUGUAUGUAUGAUGUCCUGGGUUCAAUUUCCAGCUUCUCA
rnacentral:tRNA from 1 species